rnacentral:misc_RNA from 1 species
AACAUCGCGCACCUGCGGGAACCUGCGGAAGGAUCAUUACCGAGUUUACAACUCCCAAACCCAUGUGAACAUACCUAUCGUUGCUUCGGCGGGAUCGCCCCGGGCGCCUCGUGUGCCCCGGAUCCGGCGCCCGCCUAGGAACCUUAACUCUUGUUUUAUUUUGGAAUCUUCUGAGUAGUUUUUACAAAUAAAUAAAAACUUUUAACAAUGGAUCU